ACGGGAGGCAGCAGUGGGGAAUAUUGCACAAUGGGGGAAACCCUGAUGCAGCGACGCCGCGUGAGUGAAGAAGUAUUUCGGUAUGUAAAGCUCUAUCAGCAGGGAAGAUAAUGACGGUACCUGACUAAGAAGCCCCGGCUAACUACGUGCCAGCAGCCGCGGUAAUACGUAGGGGGCAAGCGUUAUCCGGAUUUAUUGGGUGUAAAGGGUGCGUAGACGGGAAAUUAAGUUAGUUGUGAAAUCCCUCGGCUUAACUGAGGAACUGCAACUAAAACUGAUUUUCUUGAGUACUGGAGAGGAAAGUGGAAUUCCUAGUGUAGCGGUGAAAUGCGUAGAUAUUAGGAGGAACACCAGUGGCGAAGGCGACUUUCUGGACAGAAACUGACGUUGAGGCACGAAAGUGUGGGGAGCAAACAGGAUUAGAUACCCUGGUA
rnacentral:rRNA from 1 species